rnacentral:sRNA from 1 species
UCACCUACUUCUGGCGUGCAUACUGCACGUAC